rnacentral:rRNA from 1 species
UACGUAGGGGGCAAGCGUUGUCCGGAAUCAUUGGGCGUAAAGAGCGUGUAGGCGGUUCGGUAAGGCCGCUGUGAAAGUCCAGGGCUCAACCCUGGAAUGCCGGUGGAUACUGUCGGGCUAGAGUCCGGAAGAGGCGAGUGGAAUUCCUGGUGUAGCGGUGAAAUGCGCAGAUAUCAGGAGGAACACCAAUGGCGAAGGCAGCUCGCUGGGACGGUACUGACGCUGAGACGCGAAAGCGUGGGGAGCAAACAGG